CCUCAGGCUUCCGGUCUGUUUGGUGCCCUGGUCGCGUGUCUUCCGAACUCUGCUGCUUCGCCCCGGCAAGAGCACUUCCUUCCGCGGCUGCUAAAACUGGUGCGCGGGUUCCCAACUUCGCAGAAGAGCUUCAUCGGCCCCCCGCUAGAGACCUCAGACCGCAGCCAUCGACGCCUCGCCUCGGGGAUCUGUCCCCACCCUCGGGGCCAGCCCUAGCGUAGCAGGUGCUCCCUGCAGUUUUUGCUUCUGAGAUAGAGUUCUCUUUUCAGCUCCUUCGGUAGUCACUUCGUACAUAGUGAUUCAUGAUGCGAAAUCCUCUCUGUUGAAAUAACUGACGAGGCCUCUGUCUUCUGACUGGACCCUGACUUCCAUGCCCUUUCCACUCUCACUCCAGUACAUGCCCAAACCCCAAUCUUUGUUGCUCCAGGCAUUGCCUCUGUGGCGCUGUGUCCCCUCCUUUGAACUCUGAUCCUUCUGCUCAGGCCCUUUCUCCCAGUCUGAAGUAAGGAGUGAAAAAAUGUGAAUUGUUCUACUCAUCUGGAAAAGAGAACCCUGAGGCAGGAACAAGGCUCACCAUGAGUCAGGCCCUGUGCUAGGUGCUGGGAUGAAGCAGUGACUGACACAGGCCUGGACCUGUCCUUGGGAAGAGUGCGUCUGUGACACAGAUACUGUGCCAUGUGGCAAAGUAAGCGCGUGGGACAGCAGAGCCUUGUUUGCCAUUAAAGUAAUAUCACAAGUCUGUUAAGGUUGGAGAAUCAAGUGAACAUGCUGAAAAGUUAUGGGGAAUGUAGUCUCAUAGCUGGGGGAGCUGGGGGCCUUGUCAAUUGGUUCCCCCAGUCUGGAGAGCAAUCUGAGAGUAAGUAGUGACACUGUGUGUGCUGAGUGUGUCUGUGGGGGUGUUUUUGGAUAAAAUUAACAUUUGAAUUUGUGAACUGAGUGAAGCAGAGUGCCCUUCAUAAUGUGGGUGGGCCUCAUUCAAUUAGUUCAAGGCCCGCAUAGGAACCACCUCCUGCCUGACUGAACCGGGACCUACGUCUUUUCUUGCCUUCAGACUUGAAUGGAGACAUCAGCUCUUUGUGGGUCUCAAGUCUACUGGCUUUCAAUCAGCUCUUCUGCUUGACAGCUGCAGGUCUUGGGACUGCCCAGCCCCCAUAACCCUGUGAGUGCAUUCCUGAUAAUAACCCUCUUUCUCUUGUCCUCCCCCACCCCACAUCAUUGGUUCUGUUUCUCUGGAGAACCAUAAUACAUCAUUUACUAAUCAGGAAAUAGAUUCAGAGACAUUAAUAACUCAUCCAACCUCACAGUUAACUGUAGAGUUGGGCUUGAAAUUCCAAGGUCGAUUUUCUUAGCCAAUACACCAUGCUACAUAUAUGUAUGUAAAAAUAAAAACGCUUGUGAACUGAAA
rnacentral:lncRNA from 1 species